rnacentral:rRNA from 1 species
UACGUAGGAGGCAAGCGUUGUCCGGAGUUACUGGGCGUAAAGCGCACGCAGGCGGUCUGCUAAGUUUGGAGUGACAGUUGGUGGCUUAACUGCCAAAGUGCUUCGAAAACUGACAGACUUGAGGGCUUCAGAGGGACACGGAAUUCCGGGUGGAGUGGUGAAAUGCGUAGAGAUCCGGAGGAACACCAGUGGCGAAGGCGGCGUCCUGGCCUGCGACUGACGCUGUGGCGCGAAAGCUAGGGGAGCGAACGGG